GAACGCGAAGAACCUUACCUACCCUUGACAUGCCAGGAAGCCCGCAGAGAUGUGGGUGUGCCCGAAAGGGAACCUGGACACAGGUGCUGCAUGGCUGUCGUCAGCUCGUGUCGUGAGAUGUUGGGUUAAGUCCCGCAACGAGCGCAACCCUUGCCAUUAGUUGCUACAUUCAGUUGGGCACUCUAAUGGGACCGCCGGUGACAAACCGGAGGAAGGUGGGGAUGACGUCAAGUCCUCAUGGCCCUUAUGGGUAGGGCUUCACACGUAAUACAAUGGUCGGUACAGAGGGCUGCCAACCCGCAAGGGGGAGCUAAUCCCAGAAAGCCGAUCGUAGUCCGGAUUGUAGUCUGCAACUCGACUGCAUGAAGCCGGAAUCGCUAGUAAUCGCGGAUCAGCAUGUCGCGGUGAAUACGUUCCCGGGUCUUGUACACACC
rnacentral:rRNA from 1 species